CGCUUCUAAGGAAGGCAGCAGGCGCGCAAAUUACCCAAUCCUGACUCAGGGAGGUAGUGACAAGAAAUAACAAUAAACCGGCUUAUGCCGGUUUAAUUGGAAUGAGUACAAUUUAAACAUCUUAACGAGGAACAAUUGGAGGGCAAGUCUGGUGCCAGCAGCCGCGGUAAUUCCAGCUCCAAUAGCGUAUACUAAAGUUGUUGCAGUUAAAAAGCUCGUAGUUGGAUUUCUGCGGGGACGGAGCGGCCGGCCGCAACACGCGGUUCGAGCUAGCGCUUUCCCUACAUCCUGCCGCGAACCGUGCUACCAUUAAUUUGGUGGCGCCGGGGAUCGGCUCGAUUACUUUGAGAAAAAUAGAGUGUUCAAAGCAGGCCACAUGCCUUGAAUAAGUUAGCAUGGAAUAAUAACUAAGGACUUCGGUUCUAUUUUGUUGGUGUUCGGGACUGAAGUAAUGAUUGAUAGGGACAGUUGGGGCGGUCUGUAUUCCAAAGCGAGAGGUGAAAUUCUUAGACCUUCGGAAGACAAACAGCUGCGAAAGCGUUCCGCAAGGAUGUUCCCUUUGAUCAAGAACGAAAGUUGGGGGAUCGAAGACGAUCAGAUACCGUCGUAGUCUCAACUAUAAACUAUACCAGCUAGGGAUCGGCCAACGUUAUUUCAUACCGACUUGGUCGGCACCUUAUGAGAAAUCAAAGCAUCUGGGUUCCGGGGGGAGUAUGGUCGCAAGGCUGAAACUUAAAGGAAUUGACGGAAGGGCACCACCAGCCGUGGAGCCUGUGGCUUAAUUUGACUCAACACGGGAAAACUUACCAGGUCCAGACAUAGUAAGGAUUGACAGAUUGAUAGCUCUUUCUUGAUUCUGUGGGUGGUGGUGCAUGGCCGUUCUUAGUUGGUGGAGUGAUUUGUCUGGUUAAUUCCGUUAACGAACGAGACCCCAGCCUGCUAAAUAGCGCGAGUGAGCUUUGCUCGCUGCGAGCUUCUUAGAGGGACUAUGAUGCGCGAUAGCACAUGGAAGUUUGGGGCAAUAACAGGUCUGUGAUGCCCUUAGAUGUUCUGGGCCGCACACGGGCUACACUGGCGCCUGCAACGAGCAUACCAGCUGGCCCGAGAGGGUCUUGGCUAAUCUUUUGAACCGGCGCCGUGCUUGGGAUUGACCUUUGCAAUUGUUGGUCAUGCAACGAGGAAUGCCUAGUAAACGCGAGUCAUCAGCUCGCAUUGAAUACGUCCCUGCCCUUUGUACACACCGCCCGUCGCUCCUACCGAUGAAUGUUCCGAUGAAAUUUUUGGAGAGCACCUGUGAACUUGGCUCUGCCUUGCGAACGGGAGGCUCAAAGUCACUUAAAUCUGAACAUUUCGA
rnacentral:rRNA from 1 species